rnacentral:tRNA from 2 species
GCCCCGGUGGCGGAAUCGGUAGACGCAGCGGAUUCAAAAUCCGCCGCCGAAAGGCGUGCCAGUUCGAGUCUGGCUCGGGGCACCA